rnacentral:rRNA from 1 species
CACGUAGGGCGCAAGCGUUGUCCGGAAUCAUUGGGCGUAAAGCGCGUGUAGGCGGCCCGAUAAGUCCGCUGUGAAAGUCCAGGGCUCAACCCUGGGAUGCCGGUGGAUACUGUCGGGCUCGAGUCCGGAAGAGGCGAGUGGAAUUCCUGGUGUAGCGGUGAAAUGCGCAGAUAUCAGGAGGAACACCAAUGGCGAAGGCAGCUCGCUGGGACGUGACUGACGCUGAGACGCGAAAGCGUGGGGAGCAAACAGG